rnacentral:pre_miRNA from 1 species
UUUCUGUAUUUCACAGUAAGUAAUAAUGAAUCAGCCACAGACCUGUAUGUCUGUGGCUGAUUCAUUAUCACUUACUGUGAAAUACAGAAACAA